AGAGGUUGACUUUGCAAGAAGGAGAGUUUGGUUUAAUAUAACCUCUUGCUGACUUCAAAGAGCAUUGCUAACAAGUCCAAAACCCCCUAAAAUGUCAUGAGGCUUCUCAUAGUUUGGACCAUCACUUUUUUGAAUCAAAACUUGUCUUAAAAAAAAUCUUCAAAUAUAAAAUUUAGAGCCGUCAAAAUGGGCUAGACAUGUUGGGACGGCUCGGCACGGCAUAACCUGUGAUUUAAUAGGGUUGAAUUAAGAUUUCUGAAGUUCAUUAAAGGAAAGAGAUUUUUUAGCCCAGUCUGAAAAAGUAGAUUAUAUGUGGGGCUUUUUCAAUAUGGGUAGGGCCAACUCAUUGGCUAAAAAAUAAAAGUACAAACAUGAAAAUAUUCAAACAUUUGUAGCUACUCGAAAAUAGUUGCACGGUAUUUCUCAAACGGAUAAUAUCUUUUUUUGUACAUUUAAAUACUCUACGUAUUUCUUUAUUUUUUUAUUUUUUUUUAACACACAAGUCACAACUAAGAAUAGUGAUCAUUGGGGUGAAAUUCGAAUAAGUCUGUCAUUGAUGAAAUUUAAUUUGAGUUUUUCAUAUCAGAAUCAUUUUCAUCUGGACAUGAAAAUCCUAUGAGAGAUACACAAGUGACACAUGUGAAAUAUACCAAUAUACAAUGGUGAUACAUAGAUAUACAUAGGACAUACACCACUAGACCAAGACGUGGAUUAAGUCGAACCAAAAUGUCCUUGAUACAAACAUUAUAUUUGUUUUAAGAACGUUAAUUUAGUAAUUUAAAAGAUAAAAUCUUAAAUUCUUAUACUUUAAAUAGUACAUAUGAAACCAUUUUAUUCUUUCUUUAAAAACUCCUUUCCAAAUAUGCAUUUAAAACAUAAACUUCUGGUCUAACUUUUCAAGUCCAAAAUCAUUAAUGCAUAAGAAGUCUCAUGUAAAAAUCUUUAUACACCUGACUUUUAUAAACACUUAGGGUUCAUCACUAUGACUUUAGGGCGUGAAGACGAACUUAAUCCAUCACUAUGAGUAACCUAACAUACAUGGAAGAACAAAGUUCUAGACGAAACUGAAAGAACACUUGAAAAUCCUAAUUUCUCCUCUCGGAUCCUUGUUUUGAAACUUUGAAGCAUUAAUGAGUGUAAUAUGAUCGAUUAAUACCGUUUAGAAUUUUAUUUAGGUAUAAGAAUAUCGAGGGUAUAAACUUAGAAGGGUUUGGGAAAGAAAAAGAUGUAAAGAACCUUUCACGGGGCCAUCUAUGGUUCAUGAUUUUAUCUACGGGCGGUAGAUCUCACCCGUGGAAUUCAUAUUGAAAUUCUAAGGCUCAAAACUUCAUUCUACGGGCCAAAAUAUGACAUGUAGAAGUUUCUAUAAAUUGUGAAUUGGUAUGUAAGAAUUAAACCCAAAGUUUUAACUCUCGAUACUUUUUCUACGAGUGAACAAUACGGAUCAUAGAAACUUCUACGACCUAUAGAAGUCAUUUGUAGGCCAUUGACUCAGAAAAUGAUGUUGUGUCAAUCAUGAUCUUUUACUUCAAACUUGAAAUGAAACUUGAAAUGAGGGAAACUUAAUAGCGUUGGAAUUGAAAAUGACUCAUUUACCUUUAAUUUGAUAGUUCAUUAAUCAUCUGAUUCAUUAUGUGUCGAGAGAUAUUACUUUUUGAAGUUGACCUACAUAGAAUCUCAUAUCAAAACUUAAUCAAUAAAAUAUAAAUGAUGAAAUAAUUUACAAAUAAAAUAUAAUAAUUUCAGAAAUAGGGCAUGAGGAAGAUAAAGGUAUGUGCAACACCACUAAUUAAAAGUAGGAUUUGUUUUUUGCUAAUUGGUUAUCAGCUCAAAUAAAACAACAAAUGAAAUAAUUUAAUUGGUUUACUCUAUUAAAAUAUUUAUUAGACAACCCAUUUCAGGUAGUAAUAUUUUCAGAAGACCAUCAUUUAAAAAUGCAUAUGUAGACAAAUUUACCAGCUAACACGUGAACCUAUGAUUUUUUCCCCGUAAAAUUAGAUAUUUUAUGUGUAUAUUUUCUAAAUUUGGUAUAAUAUUUUUUGUUGACACUCACUUAUAGUAAGGCUAAAUAAUGGUGCAAUUUGUUGGAUGUUGAGUUACUUACUUAGAAAACUAGGGAUUGAUUCUCAAUUAAUACAUGUUCUCCUUCUCUUUUUCAGUGAUGCACUCAUAUUCUAAAAAUCUUAGAUUUGCCUCUAACUAACCCCCACGUACCAUUGUGAGGUAUAAAAGUUAUUUUUGAAAUAUGCAAUUCCACAACUAGAAUCUGAAAAAGAUAUUUUAUGUAUAUAUUUUUUUAAAUUUGGUAUAAUAUUUUAUGUUGACACUUGUUUAUAAUAUAAAGCUAAAUAAUGGUGCAAUUGGUCGAUUGUUGAGUUACUUUGAAAACUAGGGAUCAAUCCCCACUUAUACAUGUUUUCCUUUUUCUUUUAUCAAUGAUUUUCACAUUCUAGAAGUUCCAGAUUUGCCUCUUACUAAACCCUCACAUAAUAUCAUUAUGAUAUAAAAGUUUGUUUUUAUAAUACGUACAAAGUCUAUUACUAAACACAUGCGAAAAUACUAUAUACGCAACGAAAAUGAUAUAUUUAGUAAAACGGAAAAGUUGAUGAGAACAUGAAAGAAAUCUAAAUACCCCUUCAUAAUCCAUUGUCCCACAUCGACUAUAAAGCCCAAACAAGGCAACUUUAUAACCUCUCAACUUAAUAACAAGUGUGCCGAGCUUGGCAACGCGAGCUUGUAACUCAAGUGAGGGCAUUAAGGUGAUGCGGACAAACUAAUAAAAGUAGACUUUAAAGUUUCUAAUGGGUAUAUUAUGGAUCAAGCACUAAUACUGGGCAUCUGUGGUGACCCUUCUUAAUAGAAGUGAGGCGUCUACAAAGAUAUUUGUGGGCAUCAGGUGUGUCCCUCUUUAAAAGAGGUUGACUUUGCAAAUAGAAGAGAGGCGUCUACAAAGAUAUUUGUGGGCAUCAGGUGUGUCCCUCUUUAAAAGAGGUUGACUUUGCAAGAAGAGAAGAGUCUGGUUUAUAACCUUUACUGACUUCACAGAGCAGGGCUCAUCCCUCUUGCAUGAUUAUAUCAACAGACCAGUUUGCUAACAAGUCCAAAACCCUAAAAGUGACAUGAGGCUUCUUCUCAUAGUUUGGACCAUCACCUUUU
rnacentral:lncRNA from 1 species